UCACAGUCCAGUGAGGUGAAGGAUCCUAG
rnacentral:piRNA from 1 species